AUGUCUUCCAUAGUCAUCCUCAGUGUAAGGCACCUGAUGCUCUUCCUCCUCAGUCAAACACCAUGGUUCUGUUUUCACUGAGUACUGUGCAUCCCGGAUGUCGACAACAUUAAAAUCAUCUGCACUGUUUCCCUCCCCCUUUUAUUUUCACGUUUACAGGGGAGAUGAUGUUCCUCUAACAAAACACACUGUGUCUCAGGAUGAGGGACACUUAACCAAACUGAGUGCUUCAGUCUGCAAAAGAACAGAUGAAAUGGUCCCUACUGCGAUAAGAGUUGUCUGCCGUUACAUUUGCACCAUCACUUCCUCAUCUGAUGAUAUUCCUCUUCCUAUCCCUGUGUGUCCCAGAGAUUAUUGUACUGAAGUCUGAUUGAGCCACCAAUCAGAACCACCACUGUGGCCUUUCUAUCCUCCAUUUCCUGUGUCUCAUCGCCCAGGCAACAGUGAAGACUUAAUUUAUCUGUUUCCAUAAAUGGACACAUCCUUACUGUCUCUGGCUAGAGGUGAUCCCAACCUUUUCUAUUACAUGGUGUAGUAGCUGUUAGCCAUUUUAAUUGUUUAUAUAUAGCAUUCAAUGGAUGUGACAGAUUUGAUUUGAGGAUGCAUAUGUUGUGUUGCAGUUGAGAGGAAUUAUAACGCCACCUUUUGGGAAACAAAGGAACUACAGUGCACAUGUCAAA
ensembl:lncRNA